GAUGAACGCUAGCGGCAGGCCUAAUACAUGCAAGUCGAACGGGAUCCAGAUCAAAGCUUGCUUUGGUUUGGUGAGAGUGGCGCACGGGUGCGUAACACGUGAGCAACCUACCCUUGUCAGGGGGAUAGCCCGGCGAAAGUCGGAUUAAUACCGCAUGACAUCAUUGAGAGGCAUCUUUCGAUGAUCAAAGAUUUAUCGGACAAGGAUGGGCUCGCGUGACAUUAGCUAGUUGGUAAGGUAACGGCUUACCAAGGCUACGAUGUCUAGGGGCUCUGAGAGG
rnacentral:rRNA from 1 species